CAGCACUUCAAGUGGUCAGGAUGAUUAUUGGGCCUAAAGCAUCCGUAGCCGGCUCUGUACGUUUUCGGUUAAAUCUGUACGCUCAACGUACAGGCUGCCGGGAAUACUUCAGCGCUAGGGAGUGGGAGAGGUAGACGGUACUCGGUAGGAAGGGGUAAAAUCCUUUGAUCUAUUGAUGACCACCUGUGGCGAAGGCGGUCUACCAGAACACGUCCGACGGUGAGGGAUGAAAGCUGGGGGAGCAAACCGGAUUAGAUACCCGAGUAGUCC
rnacentral:rRNA from 1 species